UUUAUUGAGAGUUUGAUCCUGGCUCAGGACGAACGCUGGCGGCGUGCCUAACACAUGCAAGUCGAGCGAUGAAGCUUCUUCGGAAGUGGAUUAGCGGCGGACGGGUGAGUAACACGUGGGCAACCUGCCUCAUAGAGAGGGAUAGCCUUUCGAAAGGAAGAUUAAUACCUCAUAAGAUUGUAGUUUCGCAUGAAACGGCAAUAAAAGGAGUAAUCCGCUAUGAGAUGGGCCCGCGUCGCAUUAGCUAGUUGGUAAGGUAAUGGCUUACCAAGGCGACGAUGCGUAGCCGACCUGAGAGGGUGAUCGGCCACAUUGGGACUGAGACACGGCCCAGACUCCUACGGGAGGCAGCAGUGGGGAAUAUUGCACAAUGGGGGAAACCCUGAUGCAGCAACGCCGCGUGAGUGAUGAAGGUCUUCGGAUUGUAAAACUCUGUCUUUGGGGACGAUAAUGACGGUACCCAAGGAGGAAGCCACGGCUAACUACGUGCCAGCAGCCGCGGUAAUACGUAGGUGGCAAGCGUUGUCCGGAUUUACUGGGCGUAAAGGGAGCGUAGGUGGAUAUUUAAGUGGGAUGUGAAAUACUCGGGCUUAACCUGAGUGCUGCAUUCCAAACUGGAUAUCUAGAGUGCAGGAGAGGAAAGUGGAAUUCCUAGUGUAGCGGUGAAAUGCGUAGAUAUUAGGAAGAAC
rnacentral:rRNA from 1 species